rnacentral:rRNA from 1 species
UACGUAGGGGGCAAGCGUUGUCCGGAUUUAUUGGGCGUAAAGAGCGUGUAGGCGGCCAAGCAGGUCCGCUGUGAAAACUCGAGGCUCAACCUCGAGACGUCGGUGGAAACCGUUUGGCUAGAGUCCGGAAGAGGAGAGUGGAAUUCCCGGUGUAGCGGUGAAAUGCGCAGAUAUCAGGAAGAACACCCGUGGCGAAAGCGGCUCUCUGGAACGGUACUGACGCUGUAGAGCGAAAGCGUGGGGAGCGAACAGG